rnacentral:rRNA from 1 species
CAGUGGGGAAUAUUGCACAAUGGGGGAAACCCUGAUGCAGCCAUGCCGCGUGUGUGAAGAAGGCCUUCGGGUUGUAAAGCACUUUCAGUAGGGAGGAAGGUAGUGUAGUUAACACCUGCAUUAUUUGACGUUACCUACAGAAGAAGCACCGGCUAACUCCGUGCCAGCAGCCGCGGUAAUACGGAGGGUGCGAGCGUUAAUCGGAAUUACUGGGCGUAAAGCGCAUGCAGGCGGCCUGUUAAGUCAGAUGUGAAAGCCCCGGGGCUUAACCUCGGAAUUGCAUUUGAAACUGGCAGGCUAGAGUCUUGUAGAGGGGGUAGAAUUUCAGGUGUAGCGGUGAAAUGCGUAGAGAUCUGAAGGAAUACCAGUGGCGAAGGCGGCCCCCUGGACAAAGACUGACGCUCAGAUGCGAAAGCGUGGGGAGCAAACAGGAUUAGAUACCCUGGUAG